rnacentral:rRNA from 1 species
UACGUAGGGGGCGAGCGUUGUCCGGAUUUAUUGGGCGUAAAGAGCUCGUAGGCGGUUCGAUAAGUCGGACGUGAAAUCUCCACGCUCAGCGUGGAGGGGCCGUUCGAUACUGUCGUGACUCGAGUCCGGUAGGGGAGUGUGGAAUUCCCGGUGUAGCGGUGAAAUGCGCAGAGAUCGGGAGGAACACCCGUAGCGAAGGCGGCACUCUGGGCCGGUACUGACGCUGAGGAGCGAAAGCGUGGGGAGCAAACAGG